UACGAAGGGGGCUAGCGUUGCUCGGAAUCACUGGGCGUAAAGGGCGCGUAGGCGGUUCGUCAAGUCCUGUGUGAAAUCCCCCGGCUCAACUGGGGAACUGCACAGGAAACUAGCGGGCUUGAGUUCGGGAGAGGGAAGCGGAAUUCCGGGUGUAGCGGUGAAAUGCGUAGAUAUCCGGAGGAACACCGGUGGCGAAGGCGGCUUCCUGGACCGACACUGACGCUGAGGCGCGAAAGCUAGGGGAGCAAACGGG
rnacentral:rRNA from 1 species